GGGUAGUGCACUACGUGGGGAAUAGGGUGCCAUUUGGGACUGAACCCAUGUCAUGUUCAUUAAUCAGUCCCUCCAGCAUUCUGAUGGGAUUUUUGCAGAGCAAACGGCUUGACUUUGCUGCGGCAAUCCUGACAUUUUGCAUGGCUAUGAUUUAGUCCAAUUUGUCGUGAAACUGAGCUGACGGGGGGGAAGAUUUGUUGAUGCGUGGCUUCAUUUAAACACAUUAUGUAGUAAAUGUACUCUGAUUGGUUGAAAUUGCAAGCCCUAUUUUUGUACUGCGGGCGAUGGGCCUGGUUUAUGUGACAACAUUGCGAUGAUUUGACUGUCGCACGUGGAAAGAGUGCAGUGAUUGGUCAAAUGUACAAGUCCCCGCAUAAUACGCAGGGAAUUAUUGAUUUAGCAAUAAAUAAAUACAAAUAAUUGCAGAAACCUGGAGGGACUGAUUAACCCGUUUAACAUGAAAAAGUCCAGAACGUCGACUCGGCCCAAGGUGAGCAUGAACAGCAAAGGGCUCCAUGGUCAAUAUGGUAGGUUCUUUAGCCCGAGGGACAGCCCUUCUAAAAUAGGCAUCUUUUAUUAUGUUGAUUUUAUAGGUGCAACAAUUGUCCCCAAAGUAAGAGACAUAAUAUCCCAUAUUAGUUAUUAGGAAUGUUUGACUAUAUGUGCUAUAGCUGUUAAAUCCCGAUUGCCACUGAUGAGACAUUAGUUUUGGUGUACAAAAUGCUGGGUUUAGGCCUAGACACUGACAUCAGUCACUACUGGGACAUGUUCAGGCAAAACAUCAGGACACUACUUACGGGCUCCCCUGCCAGGCACCGAUUACAACAUUGGCUGCCUUGGACUGCAUAGACC
ensembl:lncRNA